GUGGCGCAGCUAACGCGAUAAGUAGACCGCCUGGGGAGUACGGUCGCAAGACUAAAACUCAAAUGAAUUGACGGGGGCCCGCACAAGCGGGGGAGCAUGUGGUUUAAUUCGAUGCAACGCGAAGAACCUUACCUGGUCUUGACAUAGUAAGAACUUUCCAGAGAUGGAUUGGUGCCUUCGGGAGCUUACAUACAGGUGCUGCAUGGCUGUCGUCAGCUCGUGUCGUGAGAUGUUGGGUUAAGUCCCGCAACGAGCGCAACCCUUUUCCUUAUUUGCCAGCGGGUUAAGCCGGGAACUUUAAGGAUACUGCCAGUGACUUACUGGAGGAAGGCGGGGACGACGUCAAGUCAUCUUGGCCCUUACGACCAGGGCUACACACGUGCUACAAUGGUCGGUACAAAGGGUUGCUACCUCGCGAGAAGAUGCUAAUCUCAAAAAAGCCGAUCGUACUGCGGAUUGGAGUCUGCUACUCGACUCCAUGACGGCGGAAAUCGCUAGUAAUCGCGGAUCAGAAUGCCCGCGGGUGGAUACGUUCCCGGGCCUUGUACACCCCGCCCCGUCACACCAUGGGGAGGUUUGUUGCACACAGAAUGUAUGGUUUUCUUACCUUAGGGGGGGGACGCUUACCACGGUGUGGCACAAUGACUGGGGGUGUAGUUCUAACAAGGUAACCAAAUCCCCG
rnacentral:rRNA from 1 species